GUACUUAUCUCGACGGGGUCAAUGGGCGAUCAAGAAAGCCCAUGGCCUAGGCUAGUGACUUUUAUUGCACUUUGGAAGGGUGCUAGUCUAACGCAGGCCCAAGUGGUCGAGCCUACAUCAUAAUUUAUGGCAGAUGGGGCUUGCGUUCGCGUGGUCCCUAC
rfam:Nicotiana attenuata strain TT chromosome 2, whole genome shotgun sequence.